GAUGAACGCUGGCGGCGUGCUUAACACAUGCAAGUCGAACGAGAAAUGUAGACGGAAACCUUCGGGCGGAAGCCUUCAUUUCGAGUGGCGGACGGGUGAGUAACGCGUGGGUAACCUGCCUCAUACAGGGGGAUAACAGUUGGAAACGACUGUUAAUACCGCAUAAGACCACAGCAUCGCAUGAUGCGGGGGUAAAAACUCCGGUGGUAUGAGAUGGACCCGCGUUCGAUUAGCCAGUUGGCGGGGUAACGGCCCACCAAAGCGACGAUCGAUAGCCGAUCUGAGAGGAUGACCGGCCACAUUGGGACUGAGACACGGCCCAAACUCCUACGGGAAGCAGCAGUGGGGAAUAUUGCACAAUGGGGGAAACCCUGAUGCAGCGACGCCGCGUGAGUGAAGAAGUACUUCGGUAUGUAAAGCUCUAUCAGCAGGGAAGAAAAUGACGGUACCUGAGUAAGAAGCCCCGGCUAACUACGUG
rnacentral:rRNA from 1 species